AUCUUAAGCAGGAUCCACGCCCAGUGUGGAGCUGGACCUGGGGCUGGAUCUCACGACCCUGAGAUCAUGACCUGAGCCGAAAUCAAGAGUCUGACGUUUAACUGACUGAGCUGAGAAGUCUGGGUGAAAAUCCUGGAAGCGGAGCUCCAAGGCCUCUGAACCUGGCAACAGAUGAGGGAAGACGUGGUCUCUUCGUCCAAAAGCUGAGGACAGAUGCAGUGAGACAUCAAAGGACGAGGAUUUCUGCACAGACGAAGGCCGGCUGGCUUGCGGGUAGAGGUCACAGCACCGGCGGAAGUGACCUCCAAUGGGAAGCAGAGGGCCUUGACACUCAGCAGUCCGGGGGCCAGUCAGAGUGGGAGUUAGGGGAGCUUUAACUCCAUCCCAAAGGGAGGCAGACGGCUCCGAGUGUUUGCUUGUGGCAGGGGUGUCGGGGGGGAGAUCCUGGGGGGCCUGACCCAGCAGUGGGGUCAUGACAAGUUUCCUCCAGGAAGCCAUGUUUGGCCUGAGCGCUGAAGGAGGCAUAGGACUUGUCUAGGCACCAGCGGGGGCUGGAAAGAUACCAGGUACAGGGAACAGCACGUGCAAAUGUCUGAGGCAGGGGCCAGAAGGUGAGCCCAUGUGGUUGGACCAAAACCAGUGGGAAAAGGUGCACACUGAGGACACAAGCCUUAGGGACAGGACCUUCUCCUGGCAAAACUGUGAAUUAGGAGAACCCGAGGCCCCAGCUUUGGAAAGUUCUCUCCUGCUUUCGGUACCUCCUCCCAUCUAGGCUGCAGACAUGAGAGGCAGCGAAAGUCUCAAAGUCCAAGCCUCUGAAUACAUGCCUGGAUUCUACUUCCCCUCAACACGACGCAAACAUGUAUCUUGGCACCAGCCUCAACGUGAUUGUGGACCACGGAGCUUUUCUGCUGUCUUCGCCCUGGCAGGACUGAGAGGACACCUGGAAUGUUGCUCCCGGAGGUUGCCAUGAGAAGGACGAGGGGUGCCUGGGGUUUGGGGAGUGGUAGAGACAUCUCAGCUAAGUCUUCGUCUCCAAAGGCUCCUGGUUAAGUCCCAGUAUGUCGGCGGACAGUAUGACCCAUUCAUCCAUUAGCACUUCAAAAUGGACUAAUUGAUCAUAGUUCCAGCAAUAAAACAGAAUGGAAAAGGAUCAGAGAGCAAAUCUGAAACUCUUUAAAAACUAUAACAUCAUCCUGGCGCUCCAGCGGAUACCUCUUGGGGCAGAGACUCCCGCCCUCAAGUGUCUGGUCCUUUCCGGUCCUUCAGCUCUGUUGGCCAAAGGAGUGUUUGUGUUGCCCCGGAAGGAUGCAUUCGUGAAGAAGGGGGCCCAGGAACUGGGGCAUGAUCCAGGCCAGCCUCUCCAUCUUGAGGCACUGGUGACAGACCAUAGCAAGACAUGCCUGGAUUUCAACCUGGAAGUUCAAGAUGAUCGCUGUAUGUAAACAACAGGCUUAAACAUCCUACAAGAAGGAACAUACGCAAGUUUGGAGCCGCUCUUCCCACCAGCACCUCACACGCUGCUCACACCACCUUCCCAGCAAGACGCCAUCUAUUGCUAACUGCGAAAGGACUCAGUUAUGCCCUGCAGGCAUGUUACCUCCUGGCAGUCCCUGAGGGGCUGUCCUUGAUGGGACAGGGCAAGGCCAGUAAGAGGAGGCUUCGUACUGAAGAGGAAACAUUUUUGAGGUGGCUACAGUUGUUUAAACUGCAGGGAACUGAUGCAAGACCUGGAUUUUUGACAGCAUCGUUCUUCUGAGAACCUCUUUGGGCUUCAUGACCGACUUUUUUUUAAUUAACAUGAUGUAUCGUUUGUUUCAGGGCUACAGGUCUGUGAUUCGUCUGUCUCACACAAUUCACAGCGCUCACCACAGCACACACCCUCCCCAGUGUCCGUCAC